GUUUGAGGGAAUCUUCGAGUCAAACGGGAACCAGGUGACGAGGGUAGUGAAAAAAGGAUAAUCUAUGCUCAAUAAAAAAAGGCAUGGGGAGGGAAGUGGGAGUCAUCCCAUGUUCACACCCUCAAUCACAGCGGUCGCUGUUUUAAUUGAAAACAUCUUUUUUAAAUUUCCUGCAAUUCCGUUAUAUUGGUCUGACUAACAGUUACGUUGAAAAGUAGCACUUUAUAACCCUUAACUAAACAUCAGUCAAACAUCAGACAAACAAAAAAUAAUGGCUCAAAUUUCCACUUUAUCUUUUUUAUACUACUCUGUUUUAGACGGAACGAAUUAUAGUAUAUACCGUUGUCUGACCAUCUGUCUGUCGUUUUAGAUCUCUGAUAUCGUUAUUCAAGCUAGUGAACAAUAAGCCAGCGAACAAUACGGAAUAUCAAGCCAGCGAACAAUGAGGAAUAUCAAGCCAGCGAACAAUGAGGAAUAUCAAGCCAGCGAACAAUAAGGAAUAUCAAGCCAGCGAACAAUAAGGAAUAUCAAGCCAGCGA
rnacentral:lncRNA from 1 species